AACGAACGCUGGCGGCAUGCCUAACACAUGCAAGUCGAACGGGAUCCUAGCUUGCUAGGUGAGAGUGGCGGACGGGUGAGUAACACGUGGGAAUCUGCCUUUUGGUUCGGGAUAACCGCGGGAAACUGCGGCUAAUACCGAAUGCCCUCGAGAGAGGAAAGAUUUAUCGCCAGAAGAGGAGCCCGCGUCCGAUUAGGUAGUUGGUGGGGUAAAGGCCUACCAAGCCGACGAUCGGUAGCUGGUCUGAGAGGAUGAUCAGCCACACUGGGACUGAGAUACGGCCCAGACUCCUACGGGAGGCAGCAGUGGGGAAUAUUGGACAAUGGGGGCAACCCUGAUCCAGCAAUGCCGCGUGAGUGAUGAAGGCCUUAGGGUUGUAAAGCUCUUUGCCAGGGAAGAUGAUGACUGUACCUGGAGAAUAAGCCCCGGCUAACUCGUGCCAGCAGCCGCGGUAAU
rnacentral:rRNA from 1 species